rnacentral:rRNA from 1 species
ACUGAACGCUGGCGGCAUGCCUUACACAUGCAAGUCGAACGGUAACAGGUCUUCGGAUGCUGACGAGUGGCGAACGGGGAGUAAUACAUCGGAACGUGCCUGAUCGUGGGGGAUAACGCAGCGAAAGCUGUGCUAAUACCGCAUACGAUCUACGGAUGAAAGCGGGGGAUCGCAAGACCUCGCGCGGACGGAGCGGCCGAUGGCAGAUUAGGUAGUUGGUGGGAUAAAAGCUUACCAAGCCGACGAUCUGUAGCUGGUCUGAGAGGACGACCAGCCACACUGGGACUGAGACACGGCCCAGACUCCUACGGGAGGCAGCAGUGGGAAAUUUUGGACAAUGGGCGCAAGCCUGAUCCAGCCAUGCCGCGUGCAGGAUGAAGGCCUUCGGGUUGUAAACUGCUUUUGUACGGAACGAAAAAGUUCUCUCUAAUACAGGGGGCGAAUGACGGUACCGUAAGAAUAAGCACCGGCUAACUACGUGCCAGCAGCCGCCGCGGUAA